CUCCAAUCCACUAUUAAUAAAUGAAUACAAAACAAAUAUUGGGUGAUACCUAGGCAGGAGGAGGAGGAGGAGGAGAAUCUCCCCUUCACGCCCUCUUGACUCGGUCGGGACCUCAGAGCAGAGAAGCCUCAGGCAGGAAAAAGGUGAAGAAGAUGAAGAAGCUGGUGGUGUUUCUGCUCUGCCUGGUCUUGCUGACCAUCUACACAGCGGCUCACUCUGGCAGGAGAGGAAGAGAGAGCCAGCCUGGCUGCCUGCUGGGGUCACGUGCUGCAUGGGCCCGGCUCCCUG
rnacentral:lncRNA from 1 species